rnacentral:sRNA from 1 species
UAGGCUUAAUCCCCAGGGUAAAUUUUUGCAAUACACUGUACUAGUAAUUCGGCAUUUAUCGGGCUGGCAUCCGGCCUAUCCAGCCCUGUACAUGCUGGAGAGAUGGCAAUUCUUGCCUUGGCGAUGGAUGUGGACGUCGCAGAUCUUACGACGUGAGAAACAAUAAAACAUGGACGUGCACAGGCAGCAUUACAUACCGUGAUCAGGGCCCUACCGAUGUAAUCGGUAGACUGCUAAAUCAGGAGAAUUGAUUUGCCGCACCUUUUUCCCGUCAAUACCUGUGCAUUUCUGGGGAGACAAGGACAACAAGAUAUAUAUAUCUUCGUAUUUCGAACUAUUUGAUUAUAUUUGAAUUGCGAGGAAAAUGCACGAGUAUGUCGUU